rnacentral:rRNA from 1 species
UACGAAGGGUGCAAGCGUUAAUCGGAAUUACUGGGCGUAAAGGGUGCGUAGGCGGUUCGUUAAGUCUGUCGUGAAAUCCCCGGGCUUAACCUGGGAACUGCAUUGGUGACUGGCGGGCUAGAGUGUGGCAGAGGGGGGUAGAAUUCCACGUGUAGCAGUGAAAUGCGUAGAGAUGUGGAGGAAUACCGAUGGCGAAGGCAGCCCCCUGGGCUAACACUGACGCUCAUGCACGAAAGCGUGGGGAGCAAACAGG